rnacentral:rRNA from 1 species
UACGGAGGGUGCAAGCGUUAUCCGGAUUUACUGGGUUUAAAGGGUGUGUAGGCGGACUUUUAAGUCAGCGGUGAAAUCUCCGGGCUCAACCCGGAAACUGCCAUUGAUACUAUUAGUCUUGAAUAUUGUUGAGGUAGGCGGAACGGGUCAUGUAGCGGUGAAAUGCAUAGAUAUGACCCGGAACACCGAUUGCGAAGGCAGCUCACUACACGAAUAUUGACACUGAGGCACGAAAGCGUGGGGAUCAAACAGG